AGUGCUGGGGGACCCGGCGCACCCUCCGCAGCUGCUGGCCCGGGUGCUAAACCCCUCACUGCCCGGGCCGGCGGUGCCGGCGGGCUGCUCUCAGUGCGGGACCUCGGAGCCUGCGCCCACCCGGAACUAGCCGCGUUCAGCCCUGGUUCCCGCCCCCGCCUCUCCCGCCACACCUCUCCACAAGCAGAGGGAGCUGGCUUCAGCCUCAGCCAGCACAGAGAGGGGCCCCCAUAGCGCAGUGGCGGGCUGAAGGGCUCCUUGAGCAUGGCCAGAGUGGACGCCAAGGCUGAGGAGGCGCCGAGAGCCAGUGAGGGCUGCUAGCAUGUUGUCACCUCUCAAUACAUAAAACUACUGGAGGGUGGUUCCAAGAUGGCCAAAUAGGAACAGCUCCAGUCUACAGCUCCCAGCAUGAGUGAUGCAGAAGACGAAUGAUUUCUGCAUUUCCAACUCAGUAGAGAGCUGACUUUAGAGGGAUCAAGAAUAGCUUGCUGGAUGGAAGGAGCUUGGGGCCAGUCAUCAUCUUAAAGGCUCUGUGGCAGCUUGGACUUGAAGUAGGGUGCAC
rnacentral:lncRNA from 1 species